rnacentral:lncRNA from 1 species
GUCCCGAGCCCAGCCUCUCCGGGGAGGAGGGACCCGGCGGCGCGGCGUGGGUCGGGAGCGGGCGCCUGGGACUACUUCUCGUUUGAAAGUUUUCAGAGGCCAAAAGUUUGAGCCGGGGCUGCGGAAGGAUCCGGCUCUGGCGGUUGCCGCGCUCGGCGACAACUGGCGACUGAAAUUUGCAUCAGAGAAGAGAGUGGCCCAUUCGGUGUCCACCCGUCAGGCCACCCAGCAGCCAGGCACGCUCAUAAGCCCGCGUUACGGAUGGUGCGGCCGGGUGCACAGGCCCGAGGGAAGCACAGGCCUCGGCCUCCCAGCUCCCAACCCCUGCACCACCCACAGCCGGGAGUACCCCAUGGACAGCUGUGGCCGAGGAGAAGCCAGGGAUGAGGGGGAUGGGCCUCACCUCCCCACCAGCCUGGGAAGGGGGUAGGCCCCUGGCAAGUAGGUGAGAAGCUUUUUCAUUCACAAGUUGUCCGGGCUCCCCAUUCCUCUUUGUCAGGCCAGCGGGUGUGGGCAGUCGGGGGAGGCUGGGGUCCUGACACAACAGGAGUACAUCUGCUGGCCUAGGGCCUGGAGACCUUCUCCUACAGGUCGGGAGGCAGCCCUGGGCAGCGGGCAUUGCGGGGACUAAAGAGAAACAAGAGCAGGUUGUGUGCAGGGCACCCCAGCCACUCCAGAAACCCAAUGGGAGGGUGGGGGCUAGGACCCCAAGAAGCUGAAUUGGGGUGCAGUGCCGCCAGGCCUCCCCUGUAGGAGUCACUUUGGGCUUCCUGUCCCAACUUGUGGUGGGAGCUGGGGCAAGGUUCCAGGGGUACCCCGAAUGAAUGGGGCUGUUCCCAAGCUGGCCAGGGAGCCUGGAAGCAGAUGAGAUGGGGCCGCAGAGCCUGGUUUGCGGAGGGGAGAGGCAGACGUGUCCUGCAGCCCUCUCUUCUUCAGAGGCCCCCUGCGGGUGCUGAGGGGAGAGUGGCUUAGGCGUUGCACCCCAGGAGACUGAACUGGGUCAGUUCCCCCUUGUUUGCUGCCAGAGAAAUGGGGGUACCAUUGUCAGGGUGAGCUAAGGAGGCCCUGCUGACAUUGGCCCAACCAGGCCCCUCCUUUGCGGCUGCUGUGGGGACUUUCGAGAGCAGAGCACACCCCUAAGUGCGUGGAGAGGUAAGCACAGCUGGUGAGCACACGGGGACAGCGACGGAGCUCAUGGAGACCCAGGUGACCUUAAAACACCCCAGGGCCGGCUCCGGCCCCAGAGAGAUGUGGUCCGAGUAGAGGGGGGUCAGCAGUGACCUGGUGGGUGGGUGUAUUUGAGGGGUGCCUGUGUUGAAAGCUCUGCAGUAGAUUCUAAGGAGCAGCCAGGGCUGAGACUCCCGGUGCUGAGCCCAAGGCCCCUUUCCUUCCUGCAGGAGUUCAUCUUGGCUCUUGCAGCCCCCAUGACCCUGUGGCGCUGGGGGGCGGCUAGCAUGAUGCUCCCCAUUUUUCAGGAGGGAAGCUGAGGCUCAGAGACAUCAUGAGGAUGCCAGCUCAAGGCCCAGCCAGGCCUUGGUCCUCAGCUGCUGUCAUCCAGUAGGGUAAGUGGGACCCCCAGGAGGUGUUGGGGGACACUCCUCCCCUCCCCCACACUCACAGUCUGUUCACCGCCCAAGGCAGCAGGCUGGACUCGGUGCAGGGACCAUGGCUUGGCGUGGCCAGGUUGGAGUGGCCCCUGGGACUGAAAGCAGGGGGCGUGGGGGCUCUGAGGCGGGGCCGAGUGCGGGGACGUCCUGUGGCGGGUACCCUGCUGGGUCCUGGGUGGGGGCCACCACCAGGCAGCUGUGGGAACAUUCCAGACCACCUAGGAGUAGGGCCCCUUCACCGUUUGAAGCUGACUGUAAAAAACAUCUGACCUGUGUGCAAAGCUCAAGCCCAGAGGCCUCCAGGGUGUCCAGCCUCCAGGGUGCCUCCUACGCAGCCUCCACGUCCCCAUCCACUGCAGCCCCUGACCAUCGGGCACACCGUGGGGCCUUCGCUGGCCGCCGGGCCUCAGGUUCUGCUGCACCAAGUGAUUUUUAAAGCCCCAUCUGCCUUUCUCCACUUAUAAAGAACUUGGGACAUU